AGAUCUACGGAUGAAAGCAGGGGAUCGCAAGACCUUGUGCUACUAGAGCGGCCGAUGGCAGAUUAGGUAGUUGGUGGGAUAAAAGCUUACCAAGCCGACGAUCUGUAGCUGGUCUGAGAGGACGAUCAGCCACACUGGGACUGAAACACGGCCCAGACUCCUACGGGAGGCAGCAGUGGGGAAUUUUGGACAAUGGGCGCAAGCCUGAUCCAGCAAUGCCGCGUGCAGGAUGAAGGCCUUCGGGUUGUAAACUGCUUUUGUACGGAACGAAAAGCCCUGGGUUAA
rnacentral:rRNA from 1 species